ensembl:misc_RNA
AUGAAAACCUCAGCGACUGAAGUACUGAAUUUUGCCACAGAGCAAGUACAGCACAGGAUUUGGCAGUGUAAGCUUCCCCAUGCUGCUUCUCAACUCUGAACUGGAGGAACAACCUCUAAAGAAGAGAGGAGUGGUUCAUUUUCCAUGUCCAUUCAAUCUUUGGCCUCU